rnacentral:lncRNA from 1 species
GUAUUUAUUAUUUUUACAUAAGAAAACAUUUAUAUGAGAAAAAGUAUCAGCAGAGCUUACACAGUGAUAGGAUUAUACAUCAUGAUUUCCUCUUUAAACAUCUUUAUAAUUAUCAAACAUGAGUGAUUAAAAAAACUGAAGCUAAAGGUAGCAAUAUUCUCUAUACUGGCAGAUUUUUCAGCAUUGCAUAUGAACCCACCUCCGGUAAGUGGGUUAUCUUUCUAAUUUAUGACUUCAGUGAAAUCUGUUUCCUGGCAAUGGUUGCCAGGGCACGCCUUCUCUCUUGUUCUCCGUCAUGCUUACUUUUAAGCCUAAGGGCAAGAAAGAAAUAGACAGAAAGCAAGAAGUAGCAUGAGCAUCUUUUUUUUUUUUUUUUUUUUUUUUGGCAUGUUGGAAAAAGGAGCUCUAAACACACUCCACUAAGCAUAGCACAUGCCUUGGAUUCAAGCAGUGGACCUCAAAGAGUAGCGUCUCCUUUUAAGCUUUGCAGGGCAAGUUUGGGGCACUGUCAGUGAAAAAUUGUCACUGCUUCUUGCCUUGGUGCUUGCCUGAACAACAAGGAGUUCUUCUAACUGCCUUAAAAGGAAUCUACUCCUCUCUCCCGCCACAGAUCAGGAGAUGGGGAGACAGAGGAAAGAAAGGAGAGAUCUGUGGAUCCCGUGAGCACCCCAAAUUGGAACCACUCCUUACCGUGUCUCAAGGAAGCAACAGACCUCCAAACUGCAUGGUGUACCUCAAAAGAGCAAGACCCAAGCAAAAAGACCUGCUGCUUCAAGUCCUUUCUGCCAUUGCUGAAGAAAUGACAUGAAUUCAGACAAAGGAAUUACCUGGUCCAAUUGUGUCUAUCUGAGACAGUCCUCAAAUGCUAAGUUACCAGCCAUCUAGGAUCACACAGCUAAGGAAGGCUUCCCGCCGCUGCCUCCCCUGCCUUUCCUGCUGAGCCUGAUGGAUGAGCUUUUGUCUGUCUGGCAUCCCAAGCCCUUCGCUUUGUUUCACUUUUGACAGCUAUGCACCUUGCGGAGAAGCCAGCCAGGUUUGGAAACCAGUUUGGUCCUGACAGACCUGCACAGCGGUAACUCACCUAUAUACGCAGUGAUCUGGGGCAGUGCCUGCCUGGGCACUAGAAAGUCAGACCAGGUUCCCAGAGAGCCCUAAGGGCAACCAGUCUAAACAGAUACAUCAAUCUGCUCACUAAAGAAUAAAGCUGGCUCUCCCAAUAUAAUUACAGGCUGGCUGAUUUAUUCUUCCAAUCUUUAGUGCGUGGCAAGGUUAGUGUUAU